rnacentral:tRNA from 1 species
GCCGUAGUAGCUUAAACAAAGCCUUGGUCUUGUAAACCAAAGAUGGGGAUACUUCCCUCCCCCUAAGGCA